rnacentral:rRNA from 1 species
UACGGAGGGUGCAAGCGUUGUCCGGAUUUAUUGGGUUUAAAGGGUGCGUAGGCGGUUCUUUUAAGUCUGGGGUGAAAGCCCGUUGCUCAACAACGGAACUGCCCUGGAAACUGGAGGACUUGAGUACAGACGAGGGUGGCGGAAUGGAUGCUGUAGCGGUGAAAUGCAUAGAUAGCAUCCAGAACCCCGAUUGCGAAGCAGCGUGCCUAGACUGUAACUGACGCUGAGGCACGAAAGCGUGGGGAGCGAACAGG